GUCGGCGUGCUUAACACAUGCAAGUCGAACGGAAAGGCCCUGCUUUUGUGGGGUGCUCGAGUGGCGAACGGGUGAGUAACACGUGAGUAACCUGCCCUUGACUUUGGGAUAACUUCAGGAAACUGGGGCUAAUACCGGAUAGGAGCUCCUGCUGCAUGGUGGGGGUUGGAAAGUUUCGGCGGUUGGGGAUGGACUCGCGGCUUAUCAGCUUGUUGGUGGGGUAGUGGCUUACCAAGGCUUUGACGGGUAGCCGGCCUGAGAGGGUGACCGGCCACAUUGGGACUGAGAUACGGCCCAGACUCCUACGGGAGGCAGCAGUGGGGAAUAUUGCACAAUGGGCGGAAGCCUGAUGCAGCAACGCCGCGUGCGGGAUGACGGCCUUCGGGUUGUAAACCGCUUUCGCCUGUGACGAAGCGUGAGUGACGGUAAUGGGUAAAGAAGCACCGGCUAACUACGUGCCAGCAGCCGCGGUGAUACGUAGGGUGCGAGCGUUGUCCGGAUUUAUUGGGCGUAAAGGGCUCGUAGGUGGUUGAUCGCGUCGGAAGUGUAAUCUUGGGGCUUAACCCUGAGCGUGCUUUCGAUACGGGUUGACUUGAGGAAGGUAGGGGAGAAUGGAAUUCCUGGUGGAGCGGUGGAAUGCGCACAUAUCAGGAGGAACACCAGUGGCGAAGGCGGUUCUCUGGGCCUUUCCUGACGCUGAGGAGCGAAAGCGUGGGGAGCGAACAGGCUUAGAUACCCUGGUAGUCCACGCUGUAAACGGUGGGUACUAGGUGUGGGGUCCAUUCCACGGGUUCCGUGCCGUAGCUAACGCUUUAAGUACCCCGCCUGGGGAGUACGGCCGCAAGGCUAAAACUCAAAGGAAUUGACGGGGCCCCGCACAAGCGGCGGAGCAUGCGGAUUAAUUCGAUGCAACGCGUAGAACCUUACCUGGGUUUGACAUGGAUCGGGAGUGCUCAGAGAUGGGUGUGCCUCUUUUGGGGUCGGUUCACAGGUGGUGCAUGGCUGUCGUCAGCUCGUGUCGUGAGAUGUUGGGUUAAGUCCCGCAACGAGCGCAACCCUUGUUCACUGUCGCCAGCACGUUAUGGUGGGGACUCAGUGGAGACCGCCGGGGUCAACUCGGAGGAAGGUGGGGAUGACGUCAAGUCAUCAUGCCCCUUAUGUCCAGGGCUUCACGCAUGCUACAAUGGCUGGUACAGAGAGUGGCGAGCCUGUGAGGGUGAGCGAAUCUCGGAAAGCCGGUCUCAGUUCGGAUUGGGGUCUGCAACUCGACCUCAUGAAGUCGGAGUCGCUAGUAAUCGCAGAUCAGCAACGCUGCGGUGAAUACGUUCCCGGGGCCUGUACACACCGCCCGUCAAGUCAUGAAAGUUGGUAACACCCGAAGCCGGUGGCCUAACCGUUGUGGGGGAGCCGUCGAAGGUGGGACUGGUGAUUA
rnacentral:rRNA from 1 species